ensembl:rRNA 5S_rRNA 5S ribosomal RNA
GCUUAUGGCCGUACCACCCUGAGAACGCCCGAUCUCGGAAGCUAAGCAGGGUCGGGCCUGGGCAGUACUUGGAUGGGAGACCCCCUGGGAAUACCGGGGGGUGUAAGCG